UGGGGAAGUAUUGGACAAUGGGCGAAAGCCUGAUCCAGCCAUGCCGCGUGUGUGAAGAAGGUCUUCGGAUUGUAAAGCACUUUAAGUUGGGAGGAAGGGCAGUAAGUUAAUACCUUGCUGUUUUGACGUUACCGACAGAAUAAGCACCGGCUAACUCUGUGCCAG
rnacentral:rRNA from 1 species